GGGCACUUAGCUCAGUUGGUAGAGCAAUUGACUCUUAAUCAAUGGGUCAUAGGUUCGAGUCCUAUAGUGCCCACCA
rnacentral:tRNA from 1 species